rnacentral:rRNA from 1 species
UACAGAGGUCUCAAGCGUUGUUCGGAUUCAUUGGGCGUAAAGGGCGCGUAGGCGGCGGGGUAAGUCGGGUGUGAAAUCUCAGGGCUCAACCCUGAAACUGCACUCGAUACUGCUCUGCUUGAGGACUGGAGAGGAGACUGGAAUUCACGGUGUAGCAGUGAAAUGCGUAGAUAUCGUGAGGAAGACCAGUGGCGAAGGCGGGUCUCUGGACUGGUACUGACGCUGAGGCGCGAAAGCGUGGGGAGCAAACGGG